CUCCCGGUCGCGGCUGGCUGCAACAGAGCUUGGGCUCGAACCCAGAAUCUCUGGUGGCACAGCUAGCACAGCGGUGCAUUGCCUUAGACCAAUGCGCCACCCGGGAGGCCCUACAAAAAUAAUUUUCCAUACAGAUUUGACUUUAGGACCAUGCGGACGCCUCAACCUUUUGUCAAAACAGUGCAGGGUAAAGCAGGAAGUAGUAGAAGGCAUUAAAUCACAUCACAUUGUAUUGGUCACAUACACAUGGUUAGCAGAUGUUAAUGCGAGUGUAGCGAAAUGCUUGGCUAGGUGACUGCUGUUUGACUUGAUGUGAAAUUAGACUAGAGGUGGCUAGGUGACUGCUGUUUGACUUGAUGUGAAUUUAGACUAGAGGUGGCUAGGUGACUGCUGUUUGACUUGAUGUGAAAUUAGACUAGAGGUGGCUAGGUGACUGCUGUUUGACUUGAUGUGAAAUUAGACUAGAGGUGGCUAGGUGACGGCUGUUUGACUUGAUGUGAAAUUAGACUAGAGGUGGCUAGGUGACUGCUGUUUGACUUGAUGUGAAAUUAGACUAGAGGUGGCUAGGUGACUGCUGUUUGACUGCUGUUUGACUGCUGUUUGACUUGAUGUGAAAUUAGACUAGAGGUGACUAGGUGACUGCUGUUUGACUUGAUGUGAAAUUAGACUAGAGGUGGCUAGGUGACUGCUGUUUGACUUGAUGUGAAAUUAGACUAGAGGUGGCUAGGUGACUGCUGUUUGACUGCUGUUUGACUGCUGUUUGACUUGAUGUGAAAUUAGACUAGAGGUGACUAGGUGACUGCUGUUUGACUUGAUGUGAAUUUAGACUAGAGGUGGCUAGGUGACUGCUGUUUGACUUGAUGUGAAAUUAGACUAGAGGUGGCUAGGUGACUGCUGUUUGACUUGAUGUGAAAUUAGACUAGAGGUGGCUAGGUGACUGCUGUUUGACUUGAUGUGAAAUUAGACUAGAGGUGGCUAGGUGACUGCUGUUUGACUUGAUGUGAAAUUAGACUAGAGGUGGCUAGGUGACUGCUGUUUGACUUGAUGUGAAAUUAGACUAGAGGUGGCUAGGUGACUGCUGUUUGACUUGAUGUGAAAUUAGACUAGAGGUGGCUAGGUGACUGCUGUUUGACUUGAUGUGAAAUUAGACUAGAGGUGGCUAGGUGACUGCUGUUUGACUUGAUGUGAAAUUAGACUAGAGGUGGCUAGGUGACUGCUGUUUGACUUGAUGUGAAAUUAGACUAGAGGUGGCUAGGUGACUGCUGUUUGACUUGAUGUGAAAUUAGACUAGAGGUGGCUAGGUGACUGCUGUUUGACUUGAUGUGAAAUUAGACUAGAGGUGGCUAGGUGACUGCUGUUUGACUUGAUGUGAAAUUAGACUAGAGGUGGCUAGGUGACUGCUGUUUGACUGCUGUUUGACUUGAUGUGAAAUUAGACUAGAGGUGGCUAGGUGACUGCUGUUUGACUUGAUGUGAAAUUAGACUAGAGGUGGCUAGGUGACUGCUGUUUGACUUGAUGUGAAAUUAGACUAGAGGUGGCUAGGUGACUGCUGUUUGACUUGAUGUGAAAUUAGACUAGAGGUGGCUAGGUGACUGCUGUUUGACUUGAUGUGAAAUUAGACUAGAGGUGGCUAGGUGACUGCUGUUUGACUUGAUGUGAAAUUAGACUAGAGGUGGCUAGGUGACUGCUGUUUGACUGCUGUUUGACUGCUGUUUGACUUGAUGUGAAAUUAGACUAGAGGUGACUAGGUGACUGCUGUUUGACUUGAUGUGAAUUUAGACUAGAGGUGGCUAGGUGACUGCUGUUUGACUUGAUGUGAAAUUAGACUAGAGGUGACUGCUGUUUGACUUGAUGUGAAAUUAGACUAGAGGUGGCUAGGUGACUGCUGUUUGACUUGAUGUGAAAUUAGACUAGAGGUGGCUAGGUGACUGCUGUUUGACUUGAUGUGAAAUUAGACUAGAGGUGGCUAGGUGACUGCUGUUUGACUGCUGUUUGACUUGAUGUGAAAUUAGACUAGAGGUGGCUAGGUGACUGCUGUUUGACUUGAUGUGAAAUUAGACUAGAGGUGGCUAGGUGACUGCUGUUUGACUUGAUGUGAAAUUAGACUAGAGGUGGCUAGGUGACUGCUGUUUGACUUGAUGUGAAAUUAGACUAGAGGUGGCUAGGUGACUGCUGUUUGACUUGAUGUGAAAUUAGACUAGAGGUGGCUAGGUGACUGCUGUUUGACUGCUGUUUGACUUGAUGUGAAAUUAGACUAGAGGUGGCUAGGUGACUGCUGUUUGACUUGAUGUGAAAUUAGACUAGAGGUGGCUAGGUGACUGCUGUUUGACUUGAUGUGAAAUUAGACUAGAGGUGGCUAGGUGACUGCUGUUUGACUGCUGUUUGACUUGAUGUGAAAUUAGACUAGAGGUGGCUAGGUGACUGCUGUUUGACUUGAUGUGAAAUUAGACUAGAGGUGGCUAGGUGACUGCUGUUUGACUUGAUGUGAAAUUAGACUAGAGGUGGCUAGGUGACUGCUGUUUGACUUGAUGUGAAAUUAGACUAGAGGUGGCUAGGUGCCUACCAGUAUUGGAGCUAGUGUGUUUUUUUUAUUUUACUCGGCAAGUCAGUUAAGAACAAAUUCUUAUUUUCCAUGACGGCCUAGGAACGGUGGGUUAACUGCCUUGUUCAGGGGCAGAACGACAGCUUUUCUACCUUGUCAGCUCGAGGAUUCGAUCUUACAACCUUUCGGUUACUAGUCCAACGCUCUAACCACUAGGCUACACUGCCGCCCACCCCAUUUGUAGAAUGUUCACUAACCUAUCGACUGGGCGUGGGGGGGUCCCCCCCUAUCACUUUGCCAUAGCCUAGGCUUAUCUGAAAUGACAACCUGGUACAAAAACAAAACUGCUUCCAAGCUUCCUGACAUCCAGGACCUAAAUACCAGGCGGUGUCAGACGAAGGCUCAAAAAAUUGUCAAAGACUCCAGUCAUCCAAAUCAUAGCCUGUUCUCUCCUGCUUCCGCACGGCAAGCAGUACUGGAACACCAAGUCUAGGACUAAAAAUCUCCUUAACAGCUUCUACCCCCAAGCCAUGAGACUGCUGAAUGACUAAACUAAUCAAAUGGCCACCCAGACUAUUUAUUUUUAACUCACUCCCCCCUCUUUGUUUUUACACUGCAGCUACUCACUGUUUAUUAUCUGCUCGUAGUCACUUCACAAAUGACCUCGACUAACCUGUACCUCCACACAUUGACUCGGUUGACCCUGUAUAUAGCCUCGUUGUUGUUAUGUAAAUGUCUGUCCAUGGUAUAGGAGGCUGGUGGGAGGAGCUAAAGGCAGAUGGGCUCAUCGUAAUAAUGGUUGGAAUGGAAAGGAGACAAACACAUAUGUUUUCAUAUGUUUGAUGUGUUCGGAACUAAUUGCGUUUCUAUCAGUCCACCCAUUACAAUGAGCCCGUCCUCCUAUAGCUCCUCCCACAAGCCUCCUCUGGUACAUAGUGUCUCGCAAUAGGCCUAUCCAAACUGCUCAAAAGGUCUACACAACCCUGGAGAACACAGAGAAGGGAGUAGGGAAGGGGGUACGGAAGGGAGUAGGGAAGG